AUACAGAGGGUGCGAGCGUUAAUCGGAAUUACUGGGCGUAAAGCGCGCGUAGGCGGCUACUUAAGUCAGAUGUGAAAUCCCCGGGCUCAACCUGGGAACUGCAUCUGAUACUGGGUAGCUAGAGUUUUGGAGAGGGAAGUAGAAUUUCAGGUGUAGCGGUGAAAUGCAUAGAGAUCUGAAGGAAUACCAGUGGCGAAGGCGACUUCCUGGCCAAAAACUGACGCUGAGGUGCGAAAGCGUGGGUAGCAAACAGGAUUAGAUACCCUAGUAGUCC
rnacentral:rRNA from 1 species